rnacentral:lncRNA from 1 species
GCAAGCUCCACAGCAGGGGGCAGGGAAAGGAGACCUCCCUAUGGGUUGCAUUGUCAAAAGAGCCUUAUAAGUAAUUCCUCAUUGCAUCUUUAUUCAGCCUUGAUUGACAACACCUGGCUGCACCUCUACAAGAGGCCUUAUGGGCAGCACUUCGUUAUAUCUUUACAGAAAGUCUUUCUCUAUCAAGCAAAGAAAGAUAGUUCUGGGGGUGAAAAGUCUCUUCUCGGUCUGCUUCCACUACACCUAGCUGAUGAGAAGGAAUCCCUGUGUAGCUCCUAACCGGGGGGAAUGAAGGCUUAACUAGUCCAUGCCCUACAACCACCCAAAGGGCCGCCUGAUCCAAACCAGAAGGGAAGGGGGUUCACUGCCUAGAGAAAACUUUGGACCAGUGAGAAUUGGGAGCUGGGAGGGAACUGAGCAAAUACAUUUCUCCUCAAUUGCCACACUCAUGGACUUUUCUUAGGCAGUGUAUUCCCCCAUAGACUGACUAGAGACAACUUGCAGGCUGAGUAAAUGUACCAGCCAAGCAUCUGGACUGCCUGUCUCCUCACAGGUCGCAGGGUAUUCCCACUGAGAAGUAUCAUGGCUUUCCUAAGGAUCGUACCAGCCAAGCAAAGCUUUGGUGCUUCACUCUGGCUCUGUGGUAGAAUCCAGGCUAUGACUGGCUAGAGAAAGGGCCAUGGAAUAUGAUCUUCUUUAGAAAAGCAGAUUGCUUAGCCUAAGAUGCAGCGAGGACCCUUCUGGCUUCUAUUUCUCUGGCAAGAAUCUUCCACAGUACCCUUUGUGUAUAGUACUCUGCAUCCUAUGGUUGUUAUCCUGAUUGACAUGGUUGGUACCCUGCAUCUAAUGGAUACUAUCCAACAUCCCAUUGUUGGUACCCUGUAUUCUAUGGUUGGUUCCCUAAUUCCCAUGGAUGGUACUCUGCACCCCAUGGAUGAUAUCCUGCAUCCCACGGUUGAUAUCAGUGAACAGCGUGUGAGGCAGACAACCAAGUCAUCAGAAUCUAACAAGAUUCACAAGAUCCCACACUGCCCUGAAGCCAUCAUCUAACUUCUUGACUGCUUCCACUCGCAUGAGGUGAUUUUAAAAGCAAGCCUUCCUUCACUGUUUGCUGUAAGGACUCACCCGACCUGGUGGCUAAGUUUGACAGGCCCUGUACCGCACAGAAGCAGAUUGAGUCUACUGCUGCUGCUUCUGUUGAAAUGAAACUUUGGGUCUCACAGAUGUUCCAGUAGUCCAGAUUUUGUUGAUCACAUUUUCAAGGUGAUAGGACCACCAUGAUGCCUCCCAAGUGCCAGAGGCCACCUGCCAUCAACUCAGUGAGUUCUACAGGAUAAUGAAGAUGUCCCUCACACUCAGGAAGUGCUGAGAAGGCACCUGGAGUAGUCAGUACACACACACACAAUGACAUAAAGAUCAAGAUGUGUGUGUGUGUGUGUGUGUGUUCAUAAUACCACAUACCAUGUGGCUCACAUAAUCAAAGAAAAAUACCAGAAGGUUCUAUAUGCUUGAUUACAGAUUAGUUAUAAGCUGAGUUAUGGAGGAAGGACCCAGAUGCAAAUAUGUUAUCAAAAAAAGAUCUUUGAGAAAGAUGGUAGUAUGUCCUGUACCUUGAUGUACCUUACUCAGAGCUAUAGGGUAGGUGUUGACUGAAAGGAUGGACAUGUAGGUGGGUGAUAAAACCCCACAGUAAGUGCUUUAACAGAGUCACAGGAGACAUGCAUCAGUAUUUGAAACUUCAUAUGGAGUCAGAGUGCUUAUACUGAGACAGAUUCAUGGUUCCUGUCUUGGUGAUAGCACCAGACGAACCUUUUUCUACAACACACCAAGGAGCUCUUGGAGCUGGUCCAAGCCAAAAGUAAAAAGAAAAGAAAAUAGUAUUGAUUGGAUAGCUAGAACUUUUUUAGGCAUUUAUGUGAGGCAGACUCUUUGCCCUGUUGUACAAGAUAAAUGUAUAAAGAUUAAUACUCAGAAAAAUAACAGCCUUGGGCUGGAGAUACGGCUUGGAGAGUAGUUAAGAGCAUUUGCUGCUCUUAUAGAGGACCAGUGUUCAGAUCCUAAAAAACACACCCACCUGUGACAACAGUGGGGUACAGGGCUGGGUAAUGCCCAUUUCUGGCCUCUAUGGAUACUGAAUUCACAUGAAAAAAAAUCCAAAAAGAGACACAAAAUAUACUACUAAAAAUAAAAAUAGAGUCAGUAGUGGCACAUACUCAUCUCUGUGAGUUAGAGGCCACUCUCUACAGGAGGUUGGAGGUUUCUACACAGAGAAACCCUCUCUGGAAAAACAAAACUAAUAAAAUAAAAUAAAAUUUGAAAAACUAAACAAAUAUUAUAAAAAGGAAAGUAACAACCCAGAAAUGCACCAGUAUAUAUAAUAUAUCAAAUUACACAAUCCGUCUUGAGAGUUAGGUAUGCACAAAGCCCCUGCACUUGGAAAGUCAAGUUAGAAGAACCAGUUCAAGGCCAGUCUCUGUUUCAUAGUAAUUUUGAGGAUUGUGUAAGGACCUGUAUAAGAAAAC